rnacentral:rRNA from 1 species
AUUGAACGCUGGCGGCAGGACUAACAAAUGCAAGUCGAACGAGUGGCGGACGGGUGAGUAAUGUCUGGGAAACUGCCUGAUGGAGGGGGAUAACUACUGGAAACGGUAGCUAAUACCGCAUACCAUCAGAUGUGCCCAGAUGGGAUUAGCUAGUUGGUGGGGUAACGGCUCACCAAGGCGACGAUCCAUAGCUGGUCUGAGAGGAUGACCAGCCACACUGGAACUGAGACACGGUCCAGACUGCUACGGGAGGCAGCAGUGGGGAAUAGUGCACAAUGGGCACAAGCCUGAUGUAGCCAUGCCGCGUGUGUGACGAAGGCCUUCGGGUUGUAAAGUACUUGCAGCGGGGAGGCGUUACCCGCAGAUGAAGCACAUGCUAACUCCAUGCCAGCAGCCGCGGUAAUUC